rnacentral:rRNA from 1 species
AACUAACAUUGGCGGCAGGCCUAACACAUGCAAGUCGAGCGAGGUAAAGAACCGAGCGGCGAACGGGGGCGUAAUACCUGGAAAUCUGCCCCGGAGUGGGGGAAGACUGGCAGAAAUGCCGGAUAAUACAGCAUAAUCGAUAUUGGGAAAGCGCGCAGCGCUCUGAGAGGAGUGCAAGGCCGAUUAGCUAGUCGGUGGGGUAAGAGGCCACCAAGGCGACGAUCAGUAGCUGGUUUGAGAGAACGACCAGCCACACUGGAACUGAGACACGGUCCAGACUCCUACCGGAGGCAGCAGUGGGGAAUCUUGCACAAUGGGGGCAACCCUGAUGCAGCCAUGCCGCGUGAACGAUGACGGUCUUCGGAUUGUAAAGGUCUUUUGGCGGGGACGACGAUGACGGUACCCGCAGAAUAAGUCACGGCUAACUUCGUGCCAGCAGCAGCCGCAG